rnacentral:tRNA from 1 species
CUGGGUGACGCACCAAUGGUGGUGCAGCAGGCUGUAACCCUGUGGCGGAAACGCGGGUAGGUUCGAUCCCUACCACCCAGAC